UACGUAGGGUGCGAGCGUUAAUCGGAAUUACUGGGCGUAAAGCGUGCGCAGGCGGUUUUGUAAGCCAGAUGUGAAAGCCCCGGGCUUAACCUGGGAAUGGCAUUUGGGACUGCAAGGCUGGAGUGUGGCAGAGGAGACUGGAAUUCCUGGUGUAGCAGUGAAAUGCGUAGAUAUCAGGAGGAAUACCGAUGGCGAAGGCAGGUCUCUGGGCUGACACUGACGCUCAUGCACGAAAGCGUGGGGAGCAAACGAGGAUAGAAACCCGG
rnacentral:rRNA from 1 species